CGGGAAAAGGAUUGGCUCUGAGGGCUGGGCUCGGGGGUCCCAGUUCCGAACCCGUCGGCUGUCAGCGGACUGCUCGAGCUGCUUCCGCGGCGAGAGCGGGUCGCCGCGUGCCGGCCGGGGGACGGACUGGGAACGGCUCUCUCGGGAGCUUUCCCCGGGCGUCGAACAGUCAGCUCAGAACUGGUACGGACAAGGGGAAUCCGACUGUUU
rnacentral:rRNA from 11 species